UACGGAGGGUGCGAGCGUUAAUCGGAAUUACUGGGCGUAAAGGGUGCGUAGGUGGUUGAAUAAGUUAACUGUGAAAUCCCCGGGCUCAACCUGGGCAGGUCAGUUAAGACUGUAUGACUAGAGUAUAGGAGAGGGUAGUGGAAUUUCCGGUGUAGCGGUGAAAUGCGUAGAGAUCGGAAGGAACACCAGUGGCGAAGGCGGCUACCUGGCCUAAUACUGACACUGAGGCACGAAAGCGUGGGGAGCAAACAGG
rnacentral:rRNA from 1 species